rnacentral:rRNA from 1 species
AGCAGCCGCGGUAAUUCCAGCUCCAAUAGCGUAUAUUAAAGUUGCUGCAGUUAAAAAGCUCGUAGUUGAAUUUCGGGACUAAUAUGUUGGUCGUGCCUCGGUACGUACUGAUAUUUUUGGUUUCUCCCUUCUGACGAACCUUGAUGUCAUUAAUUUGGUGUCUUGGGAAAUCAGGACUGUUACUUUGAAAAAAUUAGAGUGUUUAAAGCAGGCUCACGCUUGAAUACAUUAGCAUGGAAUAAUGAAAUAGGACGUUUGAUUCUAUUUUGUUGGUUUCUAGGAUYGACGUAAUGAUUAAUAGGGAUAGUUGGGGGCAUUAGUAUUCAAUUGUCAGAGGUGAAAUUCUUGGAUUUAUUGAAGACUAACUACUGCGAAAGCAUUUGCCAAGGAUGUUUUCAUUAAUCAAGAACGAAAGUUAGGGGAUCGAAGACGAUCAGAUACCGUCGUAGUCUUAACCAUAAACUAUGCCGACUAGGGAU